UUUACAACAAGAAAACAGAAGGAAUGAGAAUUACCUCUAGAACAAGACUCCAGCCAUUCACCUUCAAUAUUUACUAAAGAAAGGCAUCAAAGAGAACAGGGCAAGUUGCUAAGGCUGUAUUCUCCUCCUGGUUUCUUGUUUGGCAGCAACGUGCUCCAGCUGCAGUGGGCGAGGGGUGCAGGAGAUGCAGAGCACAGCUGGCUGUGAUAAAUGAGGCCUGAAGGAGCAUCUGGCUAAUGUGGAACAGACACAGCCCUGUUCAUGGGGGAAGAGCAGGAGGCCAGCACGUGGCAGGAAUGUAAGGCUGGCUCCUGUUCUGGGAGAGGAGAAGGAGGAGAAAAGCGCUGACUGGCAGCCAGGACGUCACACCACGGGCAUUUGAUUGUUAAAUAAAACAGCACAAGUGUUUUCCAGGUACAGCUGGAUUGACUUUCUGUUCUGUCACUUUGAAGUCAAUGCAGUCAUGUAAACAUUAAUGAAUGGACUUGAGAAAAACAAGGAUGAGGAGACAUCAAAAGAAGUGAUGUGUACGUGGGAUAACAAGUGAAAUAUGGAUUAUCUUAAAAACAGCUUCCUUGGACUAUAAGAACAGAUCCAAGUGUGUGGAUGCUCAAGGAAGUGAAUUAAUUGAUAAAGUAGGGAGGGAAUAAGAAGAUGAAGUAGACAAACCUAAGUGUGGAAGGGAAUUUAGCAACAUAACCUAAAUAUAGAUACUGGAGCAGCAGGAGCUGCUGAAGAGAUGUAACAAGAUGUCCAGAGGAUGGAACUGUUUUCUACCAUUUGUCAAGAAUUUUCAUAGAAAAUGCUUUUCUUCUGUUGACUAAAUGAUAUAAAAUGAUUUAGACUAUUAAAACAUUUGAAAAAAAGAAAAUAAGCUAUGAAUAGCAUAGGUGAUUCCUUCCAGCUUUGCAGCUGAAGAAAGCUGCUCUGUUAAACUUGUUUUAUUUUGUCCACAGUGUUCUUGACCUAAUCACAGAAGUAUGUGUCACCCUAAACCUCACCAGCUUCAGAGUUUAACACAUUCCUAACCCUGUCUCAGGAAUGAGGAACUGCACAACCUUGUGUUUAUCUUCAGGUGCUCUUGGGCCUUCAGAAGGAGACAAAAGGAGCAGAAUCUCUCCAACAGCCCUGUUGGAGGUUCUGUUCUCUUGGCAAGGAGCAGAACUCAGAAGAAAAUGGGUCUGAAAAAGCUUUGGCCAUCUGAAGAUGCAAGAGGGAAUAGGAAGUGAAAUGACUGGAGGGUGCCAAGAGAGAGGAUGAAUUCCAACAGCUCCAGCAGGAAUGGUUCCCUGCUGGCCAGCCUAUGCCUUACAGAACCAUGGAAGAGCUUUCCAUGUUUCCACAUGGCUUUUGUGGAGCUCUGAGGUUAUCCUGAGUGUGCUUCCAUAGCCCUCUAAUGUGCAUGGAGGGAAGACAAAAGCCAAUUUAUUUCUAACAUCCCUUCUCUCAGCGCCUCUAAUGUUCCUGCUUCUGAAUCAAAGGGAGGCAUUCUCCAGGAAGAUGCUAAUAAAUAGCUUUUCCUUAGGGGAAGAAGCAUUUUCCCAUCUUUAAGAAAUUUCUCUGGCCAUGUGAAAUUCAAAUUUGUUAACUUGCCCUACAAACCGCAACUCAUUUAGAAACAAAUUACAAAUAUUAGAUGGAGACAGUGAACUUGAUAAUGCAAUGCUGCCACAUCAGUUGUAGAAUAAUGCAUCUUAAUGAAGGCUUCCCAUGUGAAUAAACCAUUAUAUUUACAAGCUUUUCACAGUUAAUGACCCAGAACUGGAUAACGAAACUCACAUUUUUAGUGUGGUCCUCUGUCAGCAAAAGUAUACAUAUUAAUAAUUGAUGUUGCUGUAAAAAUAGGACAUAAUAUGAAGAUUCCUGAGUUUGUGGGAAAAAUAGGACUACAUGGUCCAUUAACUUAAAAGGCUUAUCUAAUGUUUGAUGGGCUUUGUCUUUAAAAUCCUUGUUUAAAUUAAUAAGGCAAAAUGGACAUUUGUCUAAAAGAGAAUUUUAUUCCAACUCAUCAGUCACCAGUGUGCUGAUAAGAAUCUUCUGUUCUGUUCUCUACUCAUUCCCCAAAAGAAUUUAGGUUUUAGGGAAGGGGACAAUGCACCAGUAGAAGGGAGAAGACAUUUCCUACACCUCCCAGAUAUGGAAUGAACUCUUCCCCUGGAGAUCACAGAAAAAGGCAUGAAUUCAGAGAUGCACUGAAUUCCAAGGGGAGGCCAGAAAGAGCCACUGAGGUCAUAAAAAUCAGAAUGGAAAAACAACUUGUAAAUUCUCCUCAUGAAGGCUGCUCGAGCACGGCCCUGGCGAGCCCUUUCUGCCACCUGGAUCACUCUAAUGCCCUCUUCAAGUGUCA